rnacentral:tRNA from 1 species
GCCGGGAUGGCGGAAUGGCAGACGCAGGCGACUUAAAAUCGCUCGAUGGCGACAUCAUGCGGGUUCGAGUCCCGCUCCCGGCA